GGGUUCCUGGGCUGCAGCCCUGCUCCUCUGAGCUGACAGGAGGACUGGGUAAGUGUGGCAGCCUCCUGUGGAGCUGUGGGCCUGAGUGCUGAGCUGCCCUGGCUGCAGCGCUCAGCCUCUCUGGGCCUGGACUCUGCAGGCCUUCCUCUGGCUGCAGGCAGGUUUGCUUGCUCAGAGCUGAGCCUCCCCGGCACAGUGGAGGUGGAGAAGUCAUUGCUGGGGGUCUCUUAGUGACAGGAUGUGACAUGGAGGUCGGGGGAGGGACAUGUCCACAAGGUCAGGAGGAGCUGCCCCAGCAGCUGGAGCCAAUCAUCAAGGUCAAGCAGCCGGAGGUCAGAUGGCUCGGGACUAGCAGCUGCUGGAGAACCUGGAGGCGCACAGCCUCAAUGAUCCGUGAAACGCGGCAGCACGUGAAGGUGGCCACGUCUGCAUCUUUCCUCAGGAAACUUUUGGAAGAGACAUUCCAUCAAAACAAGAGACCAUAACAAGAAAGACUCAUCUUAAUAGGCAGUGCCCAGCCCUGGCACUGGCCAGUUUCCUGAAAGUUGCCCUCUUCCUCCACAGGGAGUGCCCAGGCGGGGCUGGGGACACCAGGGAGAACCAAGGCAGCAGAAGGGGGUCGAACCCAGACAGCCCAGCCUGAGGGGUCCCUAGGGAGGCGGAGAGCAGGGGGAUGAAAUCAGGAUUCAGGUUCCCAAGGUCCCUUGGUUGUGCCAUGUUUGGGCACCUGGCAAGGAUCCAAUUAUCCAGGUUGGUCACUGCUCAACCCAAAAAAUAGCAGCUGCAGAGGCUGGCCUCAGACCCAGGGGCCUCCCCAGUCCCUGCCUGUCCCCCUCUCCUCGGCCUGCAUUGGGGUGAUCCAAAGCCCUUCCCUGGGGGCAGCUUGGAGCUGCUUCCUCCUGGCCAACCCUGCUUCUUUGGGCUCAGGGGACACCUAUUGACGUUCAGUCACAUGACUGAAGAUCCAGGGAGCCUCAGAGAAGGCCUCCUGCUGAGGUGCGUGCAGUCCCUCCCACCUCCUUCCUCUCUCUGUCCCUUUGCUCCUCCCUCCCCCUUGGGCC